GUCCUAAUUUAUUUUCAUCUUUGUGUGUCUUUUUGCUAUUUUCAAUGGCUAUAGAACCAAGAAAUGCUACAAGAAUGUGCUGGCUGGGACUCUAGUGAAUGGGACCAACCCACCAGUAGUUGCAACAACCCAGAGUGUGAUUAGUCCUAAUAGUGUUAGUGACCAAGUUUCGUUGUGCAACACCAGAAUGCCUCCUAUCAGGCCUGACCAACAGGGCCUACCACAAGGACUAACACCAGAGCAAGUUCACCAGCGCAUCAGGGAAAUGGAGGUUCAAACUGCU
rnacentral:misc_RNA from 1 species